GGUCAGAUAGCUCAGAUGGUAGAGCGUGAGACUCUUAAUCUUAGAGUUGUGGGUUCAAGCCCCACGUUGGGCA
rnacentral:tRNA from 1 species